CCUACGGGAGGCAGCAGUGAGGAAUAUUGGUCAAUGGCCGGAAGGCUGAACCAGCCAUUCCGCGUGAAGGUCAGUGCCCUAUGGGCGGUAAACUUCUUUUGUGCGGGAGCAAUAAUGGUCACGUGUGGCCAGACGAGAGUACCGUACGAAUAAGCAUCGGCUAACUCCGUGCCAGCAGCCGCGGUAAUACGGGGGAUGCAAGCGUUAUCCGGAUUCAUUGGGCUUAAAGGGAGCGUAGGGGGGAGUUCAAUUCAGCUGUAAAAUCGCGCGGCUCAACCGGGCACCGCAGUUGACACUGGACGAAUUGAGUUCACAACAGGCAGGCGGAAUUCGUGGUGUAGCGGUGAAAUGCAUAGAUAUCACGAGGAACCCCGAUUGCGAAGGCAGCCUGCCGGGGUGCGACUGACGCUGAGGCUCGAAGGUGCGGGUAUCAAACAGGAUUAGAUACCCUGGUAGUC
rnacentral:rRNA from 1 species